rnacentral:lncRNA from 1 species
GAUUGAAAAACUGGAUCAAGCCAGGCAUGGUGGCACUCCCAGCACUCAGGAGGCAGAGGCAGGUGGAUGUCUGUGAGUUUGAGGCCAGCCUAGUCUACAAAGCAGGUUCCAGGACAGCCAGAGAAACCCUGUCUGGAAAAAAAAAAAGAAAACCAGACCAUCAAAAGAGACAUUUCCCAGUUGCCUACACCUGAAGCAAGCCUGCCUGAAGCAUGUUUCCCUCAGCCCAAAGCAGAGAGAAGGGGAGAAGCCAAGACUCCAUUGCCUAUCACCGUCACUCUCCAGACUGAGCCACGUUGCUAAUUUGGGACUUGAAUUUAACUACUAACAGGCUUCAAAUUGGCUUAGAAUCAGGUGUGACUCUGAUUCCACCAACAUGUCAAAAGUUGUUUCAAAAGUCUCAUUCUGUUGUCUAAAUUGAAGGGUUUUCAUUUUUGUGUGUGGAAUUGUAAAGAUUUGUUGAGGUACUUCAGAAAAACAGCAAGCUCUUAGCUCACAUGUUCAUCUUAAGCUGGAAGACCUUGCUGGAAGUCUUGUGACAUUUACGGAGCCACCAAAGUUGACUUUUCUACCUUUUACGUGUGGAUUCUCUGUGUAGCUAUGACUGUCCUGGACCACGCUGACCUCGAACUCAAAGAGUUUCACCUGCAUCUGCCUCGGAGUGCUGGGAUUAAAGGUGUGCGCCACCACUGCCCAGCUGAAGCAAGCAUUCUUAACCACUGAGCCAUCUCCAGCCCCCUAGAUGAUUCUGUUACAGAACACUGACUAUCCAAGUGGGACCAUUCUACAACAUGCAUUAUUUGAGGUGAAUGUUGGACUCAGGUAUAGCUUACUUCACACUUGAAGUUAUUUCUCCUAUGUCCACAGUGGGCAGAGACUAAGUAAAAGAACCGGUGCAUGACAAGGUCAAAUACAAACAAGUGUAAACUGGGUUUUCUAGGCAGUAGCUUUCUUGGAAUGAAGGGUAAAGGAAGAAUGAACUGCAAUAAAU